GUUUCAACGGGUAACGGGGAAUUAGGGUUCGAUUCCGGAGAGGGAGCCUGAGAAACGGCUACCACAUCCAAGGAAGGCAGCAGGCGCGCAAAUUACCCAAUCCCGACACGGGGAGGUAGUGACAAUAAAUACUGAUACAGGGCUCUUUUGGGUCUUGUAAUCGGAAUGAGUACAAUUUAAACCUCUUAACGAGGAACAAUUGGAGGGCAAGUCUGGUGCCAGCAGCCGCGGUAAUUCCAGCUCCAAUAGCGUAUAUUAAAGUUGUUGCAGUUAAAAAGCUCGUAGUUGAAUCUUGGGCCUGGCUGGCCGGUCCGCCUCACCGCGUGUACUGGUCUGGCCGGGCCUUUCCUUCUGGAGAACCUCAUGCCCUUCAGUGGGUGUGUUGGGGAACCAGGACUUUUACUUUGAAAAAAUUAGAGUGUUCAAAGCAGGCCUUUGCUCGAAUACGUUAGCAUGGAAUAAUAGAAUAGGACGUGCGGUCCUAUUUUGUUGGUUUCUAGGACCGCCGUAAUGAUUAAUAGGGAUAGUCGGGGGCAUCAGUAUUCAAUUGUCAGAGGUGAAAUUCUUGGAUUUAUUGAAGACUAACUACUGCGAAAGCAUUUGCCAAGGAUGUUUUCAUUAAUCAGUGAACGAAAGUUAGGGGAUCGAAGACGAUCAGAUACCGUCGUAGUCUUAACCGUAAACUAUGCCGACUAGGGAUCGGGCGAUGUUUCUAUCUUGACUCGCUCGGCACCUUACGAGAAAUCAAA
rnacentral:rRNA from 1 species